CCUUGCAGAGCCCCGGGUGAGAAAGGGUCGCUCGUCCUCCCCGUGCCCGGGGCCGGCCGGCCCGCCCCCUCGUUAUUCCCCUCAACCCCCUGGAGGAGGCAGUGGCAUCAUCCCCAUUUUAUAGGCUACUGGCCUGUACCGUCUAUUUUAUAAUCAAGCUCGUCUGAGACGCCCGCCGUCUCGCAGCGGAGCCAGGACUGCACGGCGCAGGUUAGACCCCUUUCCUGUUGGGGAGAUGACUUGACCCUCAGGCCAACCUCUCUCAGCUCAGCAGGCCUAACGCCAAGGGAGAUGGUCAUUCUCAGAGUAAAUUCUAUUCAACAAGGUCCGUGGCUUUCCCUGACAACCAACCGUCCAAACAACUCCAUCCAUUCAUCUCAUCCACAUUUCUGGAGGCCAGGCACUGGGUUAGAUGUGUAUGCCCAAGCCACCACCAUCACUCCCUCCUCUGGACUUCUGUGGCUGUGCCUGAGUCGAUGCCUUACACGUGGUAGGUGAUCAGUAAAUAAUUAUCAAUCGGGUAACUGGCACAGUCACAAUACAUCACUCUCCUAGUUAGAUUUUAAGAUCUUUGAGAGUGGGGUUCAAAGGGUUUCCAUCUGCACUGCCUUAGCAACUAGCACAGUGCCUGGCACAUAGCUGACACUUGGUAAUGUCUGAGAAAAUACGGGCUAUGAGGGGGUGCCUCAGACAAGCAAUAGAUACCAAGGUUCAGUCAUGUCCCACAGCUGGAAGCAUCACUCCACUACCUCAUCCCCGAGCCUUAGUGGUGCAGAGGAAGGGAGAGGCAGCCCUAGAGAUCAGAGGCCUUACUCAGUCCUAAAAGUGGGGAGCACUUCGCAGCCACCUUGACCUGGAGGCUCUGGUCAGGAUUCAGCUGAAGUUACAUCCAGGACCCAGCUGUAUUCAUAUGACCUUGUGAGAGGAAAUCCAACCUGAUUCUGAUUCUGAAUUCCAGGCUCUAGAAUAACAAUAGUUCUCAUGUACUGAGGCACUCUCAGAGCCAAGCACUGCCAAAGGCUUAGUAUCCAUGGCCUCUUUCCAGCCUCACCACUGCUUUGGAGUCAAUACUGCAUCUCCUCUUUGCAGAAUGAGAAGGCUGAGGCUCCAGUGCCUGAGUAGCUUGCCCAAGGCCAAUAGUAACAGGCUGAACCAGGAGUUCAAGUCCAUGUGGACUGAUUCCAGGGCCCCCCGUGUUUAGUGCUGUGUUCCUUCCGAACAUCUAAGGCUGAAGAGGGAUGUUGGGCAGGACCCAGAGACUCAGCUGUCAGCUAAUUUGGGCUCUAGGUUAUGUGCCAAGUAGUAAACCUAAUGCAAAUGCCAACCCUCAGUGCCUUUUCGCUCAUUUUUUUCUUACAUUCUUUUUUAACUCCCUACCUAAGGACUUAAAAUAUAUAUCUUUAGAACCCAAUAAACUCAAAAAGUCCAAAAAGAACACGUCAGAUUUUUAAAAAUCAAAUUGACACUGUAGCUUCAAACUUGAUUAACAAGCCUAUGUUGACAGGAGGAAGUCACAAGAGGGCAAAGCAGCGUCCCAAAGAAAGGGCAGAGAGGGAAAGCGGCAGUGAACUGAACGCCCACCGUGCCAGGGGCUGACAGAUGUUUUCCUAUUUCAUCUCGCUGAAUCUUACAAAUAUGAAGGUACUAUCAUUUUAUUGUGCAGAAUUGGGAAAGGAAGCUUUAAAAUAUUAUGCCAUUUUGCACAAGUUAUACUGAGGUCUAGAGCUUGGAGCAGAAGCCGGUCCUGGCUCUCAGGAAGGUGCCUGCAUUCAUCCUCUCUUCUGUGUCUCUGUGUGGAAUGGUCCAGUCAAAGAAACUGUUGACUUAUGAGUUAUGGGUCCAUCUAACUUUAGUCCCUCAUGGCCUAGACGUCAUUCUAGACCUCUCUCUCCUUGUAUUCCAGGUUUUUUUUAGAUGGCCCCAUAUGAGGGAAAUUUUAAAAAGGCCUCUUUAUCUCCCUUGCCUCCUAGCUAUCUAUGAAUCUGUCGGGUUUACAAAAUACUCUUUUAAAACUUUCCCUUUUUAUUACAAAAGUCCCCCACACAUAGUAGGUUCCUUCCUUCCUUCCUCGCUCCCUCUCUCCCUUCCUUCUUCCAUCAGCAAAUACAUAUGAGUCCCUACUCUGGGCCCUUCUAGGCACUGAAAAGAAUGGUUGUGAACAAAACAGAUAAAAAUUAAAACCCUAAAAUAAAAAUUCCUGCCCUUACAGAGGUUAAAUUCUAGGAAGACAGAGAAACAAAAUAAGACAAAAGUGGGAAAGGGGGCUAGGAAGUGUCAGGGCCAGGGAAGGUGGUGAAGUUUUGGCUGAGGAGGCCAGGGAGACUCUGAGGUGAACUUGAAAAGACUUGAAGUAGGUGUGUGACAGUCAACUGCGGGCUGCUCGCUCCAAGAACUCCUCCAGCAAGAAGAUAGCCUAGACCUGGAGGAAAGCUGCUCAAACACUACCUGUCAUCCUUGAAGUAGUUUAGGAGGGAAAAAUCACACAGAUCGAAGUUGAUUAUUUCCCUUCUCAACAGUCCCUUUUGUUCUUCCUGAUUUUGCUCUAGAUGGUUUCUCCCUUCUUCAGUCUCCCACAGGACUCACCCCUAUUCUGUCCAGUCUGUCCUUCCCUUCUAUAUCCCAACUCCGUCCAGGGUAGCCAGGAAAGGAGGUGGCAGCUGCAGCAGGUGAGCAGGGGAACUAGCAUGCUUCCUUCAAUGAUACGGAUCUAGGCAGAGUGUAAAGUGGUGGCUGGAGCACGAGGUGGGCAGCCCUGGGGCUGACACACCUGGAGAUCUGAGGAAGCAUCUUCAGGAGCAGAUGGCCCAGAACUGCCACCCAGGUCUCCUGAAAGUGAGAGGAUGUAAACACAUAGGAUUUUUUUUGGUUUGCUUUUGGGUAUGUCUCCUUUGUGGUAAUAGCUUCGUUGAGAAAAAAGUCACAUAUUGUACUAGUCUAUUCACAGCGCUGUACAAUCAUCACCAUAAUUUUCAAACAUUUUCAUCACCCCCCCAAAAUAAACUUUGUAUCUGUUAGUUAAUUCUUAUUUCCCCUCAAUCUCCACCCCACCCACUCCCACCCCAACUCUAGGUCACCACUAAUGUACUGUAUUUGUAAUUUGCCUAUUCUGGACAUUUCAUAUAAAUGGCAUGUUUUGUUUUUGGCUUUACUUGA